GGCUGCAGCACGCGGUGCACGAGGCAGAGCCCACAAGCGAAAGACGGAGUGGGCCGGGCAUUCCGGCCCCGCCUUCCGCGGAGCAAAACAAACCUUCCACUGUGAUGUCUGCAUGUUCACCUCUUCUAGAAUGUCGAGUUUUAAUCGUCAUAUGAAAACUCACACCAAUGAGAAGCCUCACCUGUGUCACCUCUGCCUGAAAACCUUCCGUACGGUCACUCUGCUGCGGAACCAUGUUAACACCCACACAGGAACCAGGCCCUACAAGUGUAACGACUGCAACAUGGCAUUUGUCACCAGUGGAGAACUCGUCCGACACACGCGCUAUAAACAUACUCAUGAGAAACCCUUUAAAUGUUCCAUGUGCAAGUAUGCCAGUGUGGAGGCAAGUAAAUUGAAGCGCCAUGUCCGAUCCCACACUGGGGAGCGCCCCUUUCAGUGUUGCCAGUGCAGCUAUGCCAGCAGAGACACCUACAAGCUGAAACGCCACAUGAGAACGCACUCAGGUAAGGGCUCUGGUGCUGAAGGCCUGAUACCUACAGUGUUAACUCUUAAAGCAAGCUUUAAAAAAUUACUUUUUAUUGGCACAAUUAAAGUUCAAAGGUAAAAGUGGAUUUUUGCGUGCCUUCAUGAUACGAGAAUCUUGAUCUGUACCUUUAUUUAGCAGUAAGAGAGUCUGCAUAGAUACUGUGCCACAACCCCACUUUGUGGAGUAAAACACAAAAUAUUUGCUUCCGUAGAUUUUUCAGGUAUUUAAAACUCAACUCCUGGCCAGGCAUGGUGGCUCAAACCUGUAAUCCCAGCACUUUGGGAGGCUGAGGCAGGAGGAUCCCUUGAGUCCAGGAGUUUGAGACCAGCCUGGUCAACAUAGGGAGACCCUGUCUCUACGAGUAAUUUAAAAAUUAGCUGGGCCUGGUGGCGUGAUCCCAGCUACUUGGGAGGCUGAAGCAGGAGAAUCACUUGAACCCAGGAGGUUGAGGCUGCAGUGAGCCGGGAUUGCGCCACUACACUCCAGCCUGGGUGACAGUGAGAACCUGUCUCAAAAAAAAAGUAAAUAAAAAUAAAUAAAAGUCAACUCCUUAAUUCAUUCUUCAACUUUAAGGCAAAACAUAAAGUGUGCUGGUUUUGUAACAGAGGUACUUGAUGUCUUGUGUUAAGAAUACGUUUAUGUGUACUUCUUGGUUAUUCAUACAGCCCCAUGGAUGUGAACCACCUUGAACUCUUGCGUAGCCACCAGAUGCGGGGAAGUCAUGUCUCUAGUCCAUCAUGGACACAGCUGUACUUGACAUAAGCUGUCUGGGCUUGAUUCGGGAGUCUCAUACUAAUUGGGGGUUGUCCGGUGAGAAGGGGGUUGAUAAAGGAGGCUUGGGGCAAAAGAAACACUUUCAGCACAGGUGGCCUUUGGCAAGGAUCAGGCCUGGAGGGGGAAUCACUUUGUUGUCUGCAUCUCAGGUGAGAAGCCUUAUGAAUGCCACAUCUGCCACACCCGCUUCACCCAGAGCGGGACCAUGAAAAUACAUAUUCUGCAGAAACAUGGCGAAAAUGUCCCCAAAUACCAGUGUCCCCAUUGUGCCACCAUCAUUGCACGGAAAAGCGACCUAC
rnacentral:sRNA from 1 species